CAUAUAAUGUAUAUAUAUUAUGUAUGUAUAAGUAUGUAUAUAUGCAUAUAAUGUAUAUAUUAUGUAUGUAUAAGUAUGUAUAUAUGCAUAUAUAUAUAUAUGUAUAUAUAAGGCAUGAAGCAGAUCGUGGUAACCCAUCCAGCCUCUCCCAGCAUGGAAAACAAAUGCAAAAUGAUAAUGAUGAGGAUAUAACGUAUAAAGAUACAUACAUAUAUCACACACACACACACAUACGCAUGCACACACACACACAUACGCACACACACACACAUUUGUGUGAUCAUGUAUUCAUACACACAUACAUUCUCACCCACACACACAUACACAAGCACUGCACAUUGGACAGUCAUGAUAGCAAUGUCUUGAAGAAGGGCUCAGAUAUUUGCCGUGAGCCUUUUUCCAUUUUUUUUUUUGUUGUUUUUAAUUUAACCUUUUUUAAUUUUCUUUUUUUAAAAUAAUUUUUAAGGGAUUAACAAAUUAUGAAAUAAAACAGAAUAAAUGAGGAAAAAAAAACAAAAAAAAAAAAAACAGACAUUCUAAAUGUCCUUUUAUAGAAAAACAAUUCGACGUAAAUUGUAUACAUUUUUUUGAUUAGUAUUUUUGCUUUUAUAUAAUUCUUUUGUUUUUCUUUCUGUCGUCAUUUUAAUAAAAUUUCCGGAAAAAAUGUUUGAAAUUGCAAACACGACAUUUUUAUAUUAAAAAUAUAAUAAUAAAAUAAACAAAUAUACAACUAU
rnacentral:lncRNA from 1 species